rnacentral:rRNA from 1 species
AGAUUGAACGCUGGCGGCAUGCCUUACACAUGCAAGUCGAAUGGCAGCACGGGAGCAAUCCUGGUGGCGAGUGGCGAACGGGUGAGUAAUACAUCGGAACGUGCCCAGUAGUGGGGGAUAGCCCGGCGAAAGCCGGAUUAAUACCGCAUACGACCUACGGGUGAAAGCGGGGAUCGCAAGACCUCGCGCUAUCGGAGCGGCCGAUGUCAGAUUAGCUUGUUGGCGGGUAAAAGCCCACCAAGGCAACGAUCUGUAGCUGGUCUGAGAGGACGACCAGCCACACUGGGACUGAGACACGGCCCAGACUCCUACGGGAGCAGCAGGUGGGAAUUUGGACAAGUGGGCGCAAGCCUGACUCCAGCCAUCGCCGCGUGCGGGAAGAACGGCCGUCCGGUUAGUAAACCGUCGUUUUAGACGUAAGGGAAAG